rnacentral:rRNA from 1 species
AGAGUUUGAUCAUUGCUCAGAUUGGACGCUGGCGGCAGGCUUUACACAUGCCAGUCGGACGGUACAGGGAGGAGCCUGCUUUUUUGCUGACGAGUGGCGGACGGUUGAGUAAUGCUGGGGAUCUUGCUCAUGGAGGGGGAUUACUACGGGAAACUGUAGCUAAUACCGCGUAGUAUCGGAAGAUGAAAGUGUGGGACCGCAAGGCCACAUGCCAUGAGAUGAGCCCAAGUGGGAUUAGGUAGUUGGUUAGGUAAAGGCUGACCAAGCCGACGAUCUCUAGCUGGUCUGAGAGGAUGACCAGCCACACUGGAACUGAGACACGGUCCAGACUCCUACGGGAGGCAGCAGUGGGGAAUAUUGCACAAUGGGGGAAACCCUGAUGCAGCCAUGCCGCGUGAAUGAAGAAGGCCUUCGGGUUGUAAAGUUCUUUCGGUGAUGAGGAAGGUGUUUGUUUUAAUAGGACAAGCAAUUGACGUUAGUCACAGAAGAAGCACCGGCUAACUCCGUGCCAGCAGCCGCGGUAAUACGGAGGGUGCGAGCGUUAAUCGGAAUAACUGGGCGUAAAGGGCACGCAGGCGGUGACUUAAGUGAGAUGUGAAAGCCCCGAGCUUAACUUGGGAAUUGCAUUUCAUACUGGGUCGCUAGAGUACUUUAGGGAGGGGUAGAAUUCCACGUGUAGCGGUGAAAUGCGUAGAGAUGUGGAGGAAUACCGAAGGCGAAGGCAGCCCCUUGGGAAUGUACUGACGCUCAUGUGCGAAAGCGUGGGGAGCAAACAGGAUUAGAUACCCUGGUAGUCCACGCUGUAAACGCUGUCGAUUUGGGGAUUGGGUUUUAUGCUUGGUGCCCGUAGCU